rnacentral:rRNA from 1 species
UAUACACAUUGCAAGUCGAACGGCAGCACAGGAGAGCUUGCUCUCUGGGUGGCGAGUGGCGGACGGGUGAGGAAUACAUCGGAAUCUACUCUGUCGUGGGGGAUAACGUAGGGAAACUUACGCUAAUACCGCAUACGACCUACGGGUGAAAGCAGGGGACCUUCGGGCCUUGCGCGAUUGAAUGAGCCGAUGUCGGAUUAGCUAGUUGGCGGGGUAAAGGCCCACCAAGGCGACGAUCCGUAGCUGGUCUGAGAGGAUGAUCAGCCACACUGGAACUGAGACACGGUCCAGACUCCUACGGGAGGCAGCAGUGGGGAAUAUUGGACAAUGGGCGCAAGCCUGAUCCAGCCAUACCGCGUGGGUGAAGAAGGCCUUCGGGUUGUAAAGCCCUUUUGUUGGGAAAGAAAUCCAGCCGGCUAAUACCCGGUUGGGAUGACGGUACCCAAAGAAUAAGCACCGGCUAACUUCGUGCCAGCAGCCGCGGUAAUACGAAGGGUGCAAGCGUUACUCGGAAUUACUGGGCGUAAAGCGUGCGUAGGUGGUCGUUUAAGUCCGUUGUGAAAGCCCUGGGCUCAACCUGGGAACUGCAGUGGAUACUGGACGACUAGAAUGUGGUAGAGGGUAGCGGAAUUCCUGGUGU